AAGUCGAGCGGGGAAAGGUAGCUUGCUACCUGACCUAGCGGCGGACGGGUGAGUAAUGCUUAGGAAUCUGCCUAUUAGUGGGGGACAACAUCUCGAAAGGGAUGCUAAUACCGCAUACGUCCUACGGGAGAAAGCAGGGGACCUUCGGGCCUUGCGCUAAUAGAUGAGCCUAAGUCGGAUUAGCUAGUUGGUGGGGUAAAGGCCUACCAAGGCGACGAUCUGUAGCGGGUCUGAGAGGAUGAUCCGCCACACUGGGACUGAGACACGGCCCAGACUCCUACGGGAGGCAGCAGUGGGGAAUAUUGGACAAUGGGGGGAACCCUGAUCCAGCCAUGCCGCGUGUGUGAAGAAGGCCUUUUGGUUGUAAAGCACUUUAAGCGAGGAGGAGGCUACCGAGAUUAAUACUCUUGGAUAGUGGACGUUACUCGCAGAAUAAGCACCGGCUAACUCUGUGCCAGCAGCCGCGGUAAUACAGAGGGUGCAAGCGUUAAUCGGAUUUACUGGGCGUAAAGCGCGCGUAGGUGGCCAAUUAAGUCAAAUGUGAAAUCCCCGAGCUUAACUUGGGAAUUGCAUUCGAUACUGGUUGGCUAGAGUAUGGGAGAGGAUGGUAGAAUUCCAGGUGUAGCGGUGAAAUGCGUAGAGAUCUGGAGGAAUACCGAUGGCGAAGGCAGCCAUCUGGCCUAAUACUGACACUGAGGUGCGAAAGCAUGGGGAGCAAACAGGAUUAGAUACCCUGGUAGUCCAUGCCGUAAACGAUGUCUACUAGCCGUUGGGGCCUUUGAGGCUUUAGUGGCGCAGCUAACGCGAUAAGUAGACCGCCUGGGGAGUACGGUCGCAAGACUAAAACUCAAAUGAAUUGACGGGGGCCCGCACAAGCGGUGGAGCAUGUGGUUUAAUUCGAUGCAACGCGAAGAACCUUACCUGGUCUUGACAUAGUAAGAACUUUCCAGAGAUGGAUUGGUGCCUUCGGGAACUUACAUACAGGUGCUGCAUGGCUGUCGUCAGCUCGUGUCGUGAGAAGUUGGGUUAAGUCCCGCAACGAGCGCAACCCUUUUCCUUAUUUGCCAGCGGGUUAAGCCGGGAACUUUAAAGAUACUGCCAUUGACAAACUGGAAGGAAGGCGGGGACGACGUCAAGUCAUCAUGGCCCUUACGACCAGGGCUACACCGUGCUACAAUGGGCCGGUACAAAGGGUUCUUA
rnacentral:rRNA from 1 species